GGGCCUGUAGCUCAGGUGGUUAGAGCGCACGCCUGAUAAGCGUGAGGUCGGAAGUUCGAGUCUUCCCAGGCCCA
rnacentral:tRNA from 2 species